rnacentral:rRNA from 1 species
CGUAGCCCACGCUUCCUGGAACGGUGUGUGGGUAAUAGCUCCGGCGGCCUAGGAUAGCUCUGCGGCCUAUCAGGUUGUAGCGAGGGUAACGUCCUCGCUAGCCUACGACGGGUAUGGGUGUUGGGAGACAUCGCCCAGAGAUGGAUUCUGAGACACGAAUCCAGGCCCUACGGGGCGCAGCAGGCGCGAAAACUGCACAAUGUGGGAAACCACGAUGCGGGAAGCCCAAGUGCCAGCGCUAUGCGUUGGCUGUCCUCAACCGUUCAUUGGUUGGGAAGAAAGUGCUGGGUAAGACGGGUGCCAGCCGCCGCGGUAAUACCCGCAGCACAAGUGGUGGUCAUUAUUAUUGGGCCUAAAGCGUCCGUAGCUUGCGUGUUAGAUGCCUGGGUAAAUCGAUGCGCUUAACGCAUCGAAUUCCGGGUAGACCGGCACGCUCGAGACCGGGAGAGGUGUAGGGUACUCGGGGGGUAGGGGUAAAAUCCUGUAAUCCUUCGGGGACGACCAGUGGCGAAGCGCUACACUAGAACGGCUCUGACAGUGAGGGACGAAGCCCUGGGGCGCAAACCGGAUUAGAUACCCCGGUAGUCCAGGGUGUAACGC